GAAUUCACUAGUGAUUUCCGGUUGAUCCUGCCAGACCCGACUGCUAUCAGAGUGGGACUAAGCCAUGCGAGUCAACGUAGCAAUGCGUGGCGAACGGCUCAGUAACACGUAGUCAACAUGCCCAGGGGACGUGGAUAACCUCGGGAAACUGAGAUUAAACCGCGAUAGGUCAAGAUUUCUGGAAUGGAUCGUGUCUUAAAUCUACAUGGCCCCUGGAUUGGACUGCGGCCGAUCAGGCUGUUGGUGAGGUAAUGGCCCACCAAACCUAUAACCGGUACGGGCUCUGAGAGGAGAAGCCCGGAGAUGGGCACUGAGACAAGGGCCCAGGCCCUAUGGGGCGCAGCAGGCGCGAAACCUCUGCAAUGGGCGAAAGCCUGACAGGGUUACUCUGAGUGAUUUCCGCUAAGGAGAUCUUUUGGCAGCUCUAAAAAUGGUGCAGAAUAAGGGGUGGGCAAGUCUGGUGUCAGCCGCCGCGGUAAUACCAGCACCCCGAGUGGUCGGGACGAUUAUUGGGCCUAAAGCAUCCGUAGCCGGUUGUGCAAGUCCUCCGUUAUAUCCAGCCGCUCAACGGAUGGGCUGCGGAGGAUACUACAGAACUAGGAGGCGGGAGAGGCAAGCGGUACUUAGUGGGUAGGGGUAAAAUCAAUCGAAUUCCCGCGGCC
rnacentral:rRNA from 1 species